rnacentral:lncRNA from 1 species
CACAAGAGACCUGCACAGCUUCCCUGUACUCCCCAACCCUCUGCCGAGGCUGAGAAGUUAUUAGGAGUCCGUGGGCCCCAGUUCUCUUCAACCUUGUCCCAGCAAGAGGCUCCAGACCAGGUGCAUGGGACCACCAGCUUCCGUUCCUGCAAUCCAUUCCCAGGGUCCCUAACCCAGGCAGUGUUCAGUGAAUCCCUGCCAGAAGCAGGCGGAAACGCCUGUUCUAUAUUUUAUUUAGCCACUAAUUGCCUGCAUUUAAAAGGCAUCACAGUGCCACAGUCGUCCUCUGUUUCAUGCCCCGAUGCGUAUUUCUGCAUGAAGGGACACUGGGGCAAGGGAACCAGUGAGCGAGGGGCCACGGUCUCCCCAAUGACAGCUCUAAAAGCCUGACCCCAGCACUGAGUGCCAGAGGAUGUCAGGUUGUCACCCUGAGAAAUGAGAGGGGGCAUGCAGGGGCUGGGGCCUCUGUAGAAAGAAGGAGAGGGGUCAGGGCCCUGGCCAAGGGCCAGGAAAGAGUGUUGGGGGAGCGCUUCAUGUCCCCACUCACCCCCAGGAUGAGGACCCAGCUGACAGAGCCCUACCCAGAAUGAUUGGAGGCCUCUGCAAUAAACAGCUGCCUGGAAAAGAACACAGCACAGGUCUUGGUCACAUCUGCUGUGAUCAGGAAGGAGGUGACACGUGAGCCUUGCCUGAGCCAACAGCAAGAGAUGAGAGUUGAAGGAGAUGAGGGCAAGGAGGGGAAAGUGGAGCAGGACGCCUGCAGCCACAUCUGCAGAAACCAGGCCAUGGCAGCUCCUCCUACCAGGCCAGGAAGGGUGCCCUGGCUGUGGUCACCAUGUCCUGAGAGUCUCCUCCUUCAAGUCAGGAACCUUCCAACCCCCUUCCACUCCACCUGCUAUUUCUGGGACUCUGCCUGGAGAGGGGGACAAAGCGGAGAUCAUCCGCCAGGCCAGCCUGUCCUUAACUUUUCUCUCUAAGAUGUGUCUGAAGGGUGUGGAUGGAGAGCUGAAGGAAGAGAAGAUCUUCUGGGUUCUAAUCCCUCCUCUGUCUUGAAUUUGCUGUGUGACCUUGGGAGAGUUACUUCACCUCUCUGGCCUUCCUGUUUUUCAACUGUGGAAUAAGAAGGUAUCCCAGGCAUGGAUUCAGACCACCCAGGACUGAAUCCUGAAUCCACCACUAACAAGCUCUGCGACCUUGGACAGCCUUUCAGAAACUUAGUGUCCUCAUCUGUAUGAAUGAGAUGACCUACCUCAACAGCCGUUGAGAAGAUUAAAAGAGAUAAUCCAUGUGAAGUCCUCAG